UGCCAGCCGCCGCGGUAAUACGGAGGGGGCAAGCGUUGUUCGGAAUUAUUGGGCGUAAAGGGCGUGUAGGCGGCCGGCCAAGUCGGAUGUGAAAUCCCUCGGCUCAACCGAGGAACUGCACUCGAUACUGGCUGGCUUGAGUCCGGGAGGGGGUAGCGGAAUUCCCAGUGUAGCGGUGAAAUGCGUAGAUAUUGGGAAGAACACCAGUGGCGAAGGCGGCUACCUGGACCGGAACUGACGCUGAUGCGCGAAAGCCAGGGGAGCGAAUGGGAUUAGAUA
rnacentral:rRNA from 1 species